AUACGGAGGGUACGAACGUUAAUCGGAAUUACUGGGCGUAAAGCGCGCGUAGGUGGUUCGGUAAGUGGGAUGUGAAAGCCCUGGGCUCAACCCGGGAACUGCGUUUAAAACUGGCGGACUAGAGUCCGGGAGAGGGUGGCGGAAUUCCUGGUGUAGCGGUGGAAUGCGUAGAUAUCAGGAAGAACACCGGUGGCGAAGGCGGCUAGCUGGGCCGGUUCUGACGCUCAGGUGCGAAAGCGUGGGGAGCAAACAGGAUUAGAAACCCCAGUAGUCC
rnacentral:rRNA from 1 species